ensembl:lncRNA novel transcript
AGAGUCAUCUGGAGUCCUGAAGUCUUCUACAAAUCCCUUCCAUUUGGACAUCAAACAAGAGAAGAAGGACCUUUAAUGAAAUAACUUACAUUUUUUCUACCAAUAUCCCAUCAGCCGAAACUACUCUCUCUCCCCACUCCUCCAACACUCUGGAAUAUAAAACAGAUUUAUGAGUAACCACCACUCUGUUAGGUGCACUUUGAAUUUAGUUCUUUCAAAGAGAAACGGGAAUGGGACUGUAGCCACCUCAAGAAAUGAUACUGGCAAAAGACACAUUUGGUAUUCCUAUUUUAUUGCCACAAUAUGCUGAAUUUUGUCUAUAUUAAGGAAAAGGUUUCAGCCAACAACCUGCGUCAACAACCACACAUGUGAGGAAAGAUGUCUUCUGAAGAUUCCAGCCUCCAGCCAGCAAGCCUUUCCAAGUAUAACCCUAGGACACAAAUCAAAAUUACUCAGAAUUUGAAGAGCCAGGAAAAUAUCAACUUGAGUGGGAAAAGGCAAUCAACAUAUGCCCUUUAUUGUGCAAAACUCGGGUAACAGGUAAACAAGAUUAACAGGGACCGCUAGGAUCAAGAAAUGGAAGAUGCCUCCCUACAUACAUCUGAGAUGAAUCCACAAAGAUAUCAAUCAUUUUGUUACCUGGAGGCCAGGUGAUGAGAUCUGAAAUCAUCUUAUCUAAAUCCAGCACACAGUUUAUACCCACUGUACCUAUCAAAUUAUUCAAAGGUCCCUUCUGAUACAUUGCAAAAAUGGAUACAACUUUUCCCUCCUUUUAGCUUCUUUCCUUGUGUAAUGUGACUUUGAAGCUCUUACUAUUAUAUCAAGAAAUAAAAUCUAUUGUCUC